CAGAAAGUGGAAUGACGUCUCUGCAGCCUCUGGGCGAAAAACAGCAGGAGUUUUUGUGAGUGGUCAGGCAAGGAACAAUGACACUGGAGAUGCGCGUCCACGAGAGGACUCCAUGUUUUUCUUUCAGUCUAUGAAUGAAUAUAACGUCGCCCGGUUGGAAUAUUAUUGCUAUUUUACGAGAAAAAUAGCAUAAAAAUUGAUUUUAAACAGCGUUUGACAUGCUUCUAAGUACGGUAAUGGAAUAUUUUGAAUUUUUUUGUCACGAAAUGCGCCCGCGCGUCACCCUUCGGAUAGUGACCUCAACACAUGAACAAAACGGAGCUAUUUCAAUAUAACUAUGGAUUAUUUCGAACCAAAACAACAUUUGUUGUUGAAGUAGAAGUCCUGGGAGUGCAUUCUGACGAAGAACAGCAAAGGGACUCCUGAGAAAACCAACAAACCAGGCUGUCGUCUUGUGAAACAGUGGAUGUAAAGAAUCUAGCUAGCUAAAGCAUUUACUGCAAAUUGAAUGUACAAUUGUGUAAGCUUGCCUUGCUUAUAUUUGCCAUGCAAUGCAGCUGCAGUAACAUAGCUAGCUAAAUAUUUAUUUGCUUAUUGUGUAGUUGUUAAAGGAAUUUUAUAUCUUGAUGAUAAUAAUCAAUAAUCAAUUCGCCUUGACUAAUGCCCAAGGUUUGUAAGACAAUGGGUUAAAAUAAUUAGGCCAGGACUCAGCUUUCUGCAAAAGGUUUCUGUAGCUUUAUUCAUGAGAACGUUCUCCCGUCAGGAUAACAAAACAGUCAUUAUAUAGUUCUUGCUUACUUACGCACAUGCAUUUACACACAAUCUGUUGGUGACCUGCAACCCCCAUAAACUUCUCACACUGUUUAUCACCUUCUGGCUCACCCUGUUCCUUUCCUUCAAGGUUAGGAACUCUCUGAAGUUUUACUCCCUUGACCAUCUGCUUCUCUAUCUCUCUAUACUAAUUGCAUACACACAUUUCUUUCCCUCUCCAGUGGUUCCUGGACUUUCCGGAACUAAUCAGACCAAUCGAACCCUACAUUGAUUAUUCAUUAACCCUGCUGUAUGACUAAUAAUUCAUCAUGGUUUAUUGAUUCAUUUACCUUUAUUAGAUAAUUCUCUUAUCA
rnacentral:lncRNA from 1 species